rnacentral:rRNA from 1 species
AACUUGAGUGCAGAAGAGGAGAGUGGAAUUCCACGUGUAGCGGUGAAAUGCGUAGAGAUGUGGAGGAACACCAGUGGCGAAGGCGACUCUCUGGUCUGUAACUGACGCUGAGGAGCGAAAGCGUGGGGAGCGAACAGGAUUAGAUACCCUGGUAGUCCACGCCGUAAACGAUGAGUGCUAAGUKUUAGGGGGUUUCCGCCCCUUAGUGCUGCAGCUAACGCAUUAAGCACUCCGCCUGGGGAGUACGGUCGCAAGACUGAAACUCAAAGGAAUUGACGGGGGCCCGCACAAGCGGUGGAGCAUGUGGUUUAAUUCGAAGCAACGCGAAGAACCUUACCAGGUCUUGACAUCCUCUGACAACCCUAGAGAUAGGGCUUUCCCUUCGSSGACMGAGUGACAGGUGGUGCAUGGUUGUCGUCAGCUCGUGUCGUGAGAUGUUGGGUUAAGUCCCGCAACGAGCGCAACCCUUGAUCUUAGUUGCCAGCAUUCAGUUGGGCACUCUAAGGUGACUGCCGGUGACAAACCGGAGGAAGGUGGGGAUGACGUCAAAUCAUCAUGCCCCUUAUGACCUGGGCUACACACGUGCUACAAUGGACAGAACAAAGGGCUGC